CCUACUUCUCUCUCCCUUCCCUGUACAGCGAAAAUAAAACCCCAAAUACCUCAAUUUCAGAUCUGAUUAAAUUCGCAGAGAAUUCAUUCAUCUCUCAAACUUCUCACUCCGUUAUUCUCAAUCGAAAUCCCCAAUUUAUAUUCUUGCAGAUCACCAAUUUCUGCAGCUCAUCGAAAUUGAAUAAAAGAACCCUAAUUUUCGAAAUAUAAAUUUCAAUUUCCGACUUUAAUUCAUACAAUAGUUUCCAAUUUUUCCAUUGUAAAGUUUAUCAACCUUGGAGGUUUCGUAUGGUGAGUAAGUCGCGGAGCUCAAACAACAACUAACAGAGCAAGGCGUAUGAAAUUUGGUUGAUUGGCAGCUAUUGUACAGACAUGUUAAUUUGAUUUGGAAGUUUGAAGUGAGGAUUGUGGACCACUGGACCUUGACAUAUCUCAUUAGCUUGCAUGGAUCAAUGGAUCAACAUACUUUCCAGUUAUUUGUUCGAGCUCCCGGUGCCUACUCCAACUAAUAUUGAUGAGAUCAAGGGCGUGAUGUGGAUUUGACACAUAUGUUGGAGCGUGUUACGUUAGAAUCAUGCUUUGGGUGAUUUUUUUUUUUGAGGGGAUGCUUUGGGUGAUAUUUCACGGAGCAUAAAGACACAACUUAGAAAAAUGUAGGUGGUCGUAUGAAAUGGUUUAAUGCUAUAGUUGUAGCAGGACUUAAUUUUAUAUGUGUUUAGUUCUAAAUUUUUGUUGUAAAAUAUUGUAUAUAAUACUAAUUAUUAUGGUAAUUUUGUUUUGAUGCUUCCCUUUUGGUGUGUGUGUGCGCUACUGUUUUUUUUUUUUAUUUAAAAUAUAGCUGAAAAGAGACCCGUUAUCUAUAAGCAUAGGUCUUUCGAUUUUCAAAAUAAAAAAAAAUUUAAAAUGUCAAAGAGACCCCCUUUCUUCAAUAUAGGGUUUGAAUUUUUCUAACAAAGAGACCCCAUUUCUCUGAUGGUGGGUCUU